GCUAGAAGCAGUUGAGCGGCGGAAGCAGCUGGCUCGCGCGGGGCCUGCGGGGAGGGGGAGAGCUGUGAAGAUGGCGGCAGUGGUGGAGGUGGAGGUUGGAGCCGGUGCUGCCGGAGAACGGGAGCUGGAUGAGGUGGAUAUGUCAGAACUCUCUCCAGAGGAGCAAUGGAAGAUCGAGCACGCACGCAUGCAUGCCAAGCAUCGCGGCCAUGAAGCCAUGCAUGCUGAAAUGGUCCUCAUCCUUAUUGCUACUUUGGUGGUGGCCCAGCUGCUCCUGGUGCAGUGGAAACAGAGACAUCCCCGCUCCUACAAUAUGGUGACCCUCUUUCAGAUGUGGGUUGUUCCCCUCUAUUUCACAGUGAAGCUGCAUUGGUGGAGGUUCCUAGUGAUCUGGAUCUUGUUCUCCACUGUCACAGCCUUUGUCACCUUCCGAGCCACCCGAAAACCACUAGUCCAGACAACCCCAAGGUUGGUUUAUAAGUGGUUCCUGCUAAUCUAUAAAAUCAGCUAUGCCACUGGCAUCGUUGGCUACAUGGCUGUCAUGUUUACCCUCUUUGGUCUUAACUUAUUAUUCAAGAUCAAACCUGAAGAUGCUAUGGACUUUGGCAUUUCUCUCCUCUUCUAUGGCCUCUACUAUGGUGUUCUUGAGCGGGACUUUGCAGAAAUGUGUGCAGACUAUAUGGCAUCGACCAUAGGGGUAGAGUCCUGUCUCCUGUCCCUCGCAUCCCCACCCCCUUCCCCGGAGAACUGGGUCUCAGAAGCUCCGACAGUCUUGCCUCCUGACCUCCCUGCUGGAGACACUGGUGCUCCUAGGGAGGAGCUUCUCCGCGUCUUGCAGAGUUGGGGGUCUGAGAAGAUGUGAGUGAGAGCCCUGGAGAAGAGGAGUUGACUUUUAGUCUCCCACAUCUAAAUUGGAAAUGUAUGGUUUUUACACACACACAACACACUCACCCCUUGAGAUUGCAGCCAUGUUCCUGACGCAUCUUCCAAACCGUAUUCCAUCUCUUGGCCUCCCUGGCUCUGUCUCCAGGACCCCAUCCUCCUGAUCCCAGAAACUCAGGUCUGGCCCUUCACCGCUGCUCCGUGGGUCACCAGCCCUGGUGUCUCCGCCCCUUGAGGCCGCUUGUGUGACCCUGACUUCUGUAGCUCCGCUGUUGCUCCAGCCAGUGCUGGGUGUACCCACUUUCCCUGGAAAGCACCCUCUCCUCCCCGUAGGGCCAGGGCUCCAGCCUGUGCUCCAGGCGUGUCUGAGAGGUUCCUGUGGCGGCCAGGAAACGUAGCUCCCAUGAUGGGGCUCAUGUGGGGCCAGACACAGCCAAACUGAGCUGGGGAGCUCCGAAAGGGGCAGCUUCCAAAAAAGAGGGCUCUUCAGGGCUUUUUGGGAGCCAGGCAAGGGGAAACUAGACUUCCUGCUGAGCUUAGAUCUGUCGCUCUGGCCAAGGAGCUGGGAUGACAGAAGUGAGAAGGAUUCAUGGGGGUGAGGGGUGGGUGUUGGGUUGGUUGGAGGGAGUGGGGAGCCUGAGAAAGGCCAGGAUGUGGAUGGGCUGGUGUGAGUCUGAACUGUUCCACUUGAUCCAACUUCGGGUCCCCAGUGCCUAGGACAGUUGUCCCCUUGAAUACAGUGUGACUGAAGGAAGAAGCAGGAGGCCUUUUCUGUUCACAUAGAAGAGCAGAGUCUUGGGAUGGAGAGACUGUCAUUAGUUCAUGGCCCUGUGCACCCCUUGGAGGGUGAGGCUGAGGAUGGUUGAAGACCCCAGGCUGAUACCACCUGCAGAGCAGGGGGCCUGGGAGUGAGUGAGAAGGUUCAUGGCCGCGGUGAGCUCCAGCUCAGCAGAAGGCACGGUGUGCAGGGACCUUCGGGACUGGGUCCAGACUGCUGUGGAGUACAUGUGUCUGCUGGUAGCCAGAGCCUACUCUAGAUCCCCUGCUUAAAUAAAACUGAAAGUAAAAUAGCGGGGGGCAGUGCUUUCCCAGAAGGAUUUCACUGUCUAUCCUGCCCUUCCCAGAACAGCUUUGGCAGUGGAAUUUUCCCUCCCUUUGUGACUAGGUAAGUCCCUGGUCCUCUUUGGGCCUCAGUUUCCAUCCUGUAAUGAAGUGUUUGAUUGGACUAGUGAGUAUAAUGUUGACGGUAGGAAGAGCUAGGGUGGGGAUCCGCCAGCUUUGUUUCUAGGGGCUGGAAGAGCUCCAGCCUGUGCUCAAUGCCAGUCCUCCAGGAGUUGUCAGUUGAGACAGGUGGACGGGGCAGAGUGGACAGUGUCUGGCAGCCCCCUGAAAAGGCAGAUGUAGGAAGGGGCUGUGGAGACCACAGGAAGGCCGUACUAGUGUGCCUGGAAUCUGUAGGAGAAGCUGUUUGUCACGGUCGCCUCCCCCGCCUCCCCAGAGAGGAAGUUGUCACAGAUAUAUAGAGCAAGGCCCUGCAGCUCCUGACACAGAUCAUCCUGGCCAUGAGACAGAACUGGAUCCCAGGUGGGCCCUGGGGCCGCGCAUGUGCGGGAGGGGGUGGGGUGUGGCCUGAGGCCAGCGAGGAGCCUGACCCCAGGCGGUCCCUUCAGCUGCUGUGCUGUGGCUUUCAGCCUCUGGAUGCUGCACUCUGGCUCCAUUCCAAGGUCUCCCUGUGCCCCAUUCAGAGAGCCAAGAGCCAGGGCUGGAGGGGUUCUUCGGUCCCACCCAUUCCCAGCAGAGCCAAGAGUCUGCCAGACCUGAUCCUGGCAGCAGCUGCCUCUCCAAGCAAGAGCAGAGCCAGGAUGCCGAGCAGUUCUGGGAGGCCAGACAGCUGCUGACCUCUGUGACUGUCCUCUCCUCAGACCCCAGCCCUCUUCGGGCCCUGCUCCUCUGUGCCCACAUCAUCUCCCACCUGGCCAGAGCCACACCUGUGCCUCAGGCCACCACAGCUGCCUCACCUGGGAUGGCAAAGGCCCCCUGCUCCUCGCGGCCCCCAGCGCUCCCAGCAGCUACGCAGUGCCCAGCGCUGACAGUGACCUGGCCAGCGGUGGAAGUCUCACUGAGCUGGGCAGAAGACAAGUGUGCCCCUGCCACAGGAAGGCCCGCCCUCCAGCCAGGCCCCUCUGCCGCACCAUCCUGAUGGUGAACCUGAGCUCCACCGCCACCUGCUUGAAACACCACCUCUUUACUGAGGUCCAGGCCACAGUCUGCAUCGAUUUAAUGUAUUUGUUUCCUCUGUGGGCUCCUGGGAUGCGGGCAGAGGCUGCUUCUGACCCACCUCUGUAUCUCUCAGCCAAGCAAGGCCCACGGGGGGCAUUCAUAAACCAUCUUCAACGGCA